rnacentral:sRNA from 1 species
AACCCGUAGUUGAUGUAUCUAACCUAACAGAAUUUUCAGAGAAAAGAAGUGAAAUAAGAACUAAAAAUAAAUUUGUAUAAGUCUUUAAAAAUGAGAGUUGUUUUUUUUUUUUUUGGCUUUUGGAAGGUAUUUGAGAUGGACAUUGCUAAACAGUUACAAGCUUAUGAAGUCGAGUACCACGUCCUUCAAGAAGAACUUAUCGAUUCCUCUCCUCUCAGUGACAACCAAAGAAUGGAUAAAUUAGAGAAAACCAACAGCAGCUUACGCAAACAGAACCUUGACCUCCUUGAACAGUUGCAGGUGGCAAAUGGUAGGAUCCAAAGCCUUGAGGCCACCAUUGAGAAGCUCCUGAGCAGCGAGAGCAAGCUGAAGCAGGCCAUGCUUACCUUAGAACUGGAGCGGAAGGCCCUGCUGCAGACGGUGGAGGAGCUGCGGCGACGGAGCGCAGAGCCCAGCGACCGGCAGCCUGAGUGCACACAGCCCGAGCCCACAGGCUACUGACAGCUCUGCAGGAGAGAUUGCAACACCAUCCCACACUAUCCAGGCCUUAACUGAGAGGGACAGAAGA